GCCUUAGUGGUGUAGCGGUAUCACGCCAGCCUUCACACGCUAGAGACCCAAGUUCGAUACUCAGCUAGGGCA